AAUCUUCCACAAUGGACGAAAGUCUGAUGGAGCAACGCCGCGCGAGUGAAGAAGGUUCUCGGAACGUCCCGCUCUGUCGUAAGGGAAGAACAAGUACAGGAGUAACUGUCUGUACCUUGACGGUACCUUACCAGAAAGCCACGGCAAACUACGUGCCUGCCGCCGCGUGAAUACGUAGGUGGCAAGCGUUGUCCGGAAUGAUUUGGCGUAAAGCGCGCGCAGGCGGUCCUUUAAGUCUGAUGUGAAAGCCCACGGCUCAACCGUGGAGGGUCAUUGGAAACUGGAGGACUUGAGUACAGAAGAGGAAAGCGGAAUUCCACGUGUAGCGGUGAAAUGCGUAGAGAUGUGGAGGAACACCAGUGGCGAAGGCGGCUUUCUGGUCUGUAACUGACGCUGAGGCGCGAAAGCGUGGGGAGCAAAC
rnacentral:rRNA from 1 species